GAGUCUCACCUCGCAGGACCAGGAUAACCACGCACAAGAAAAAAGCGGAAAAGGGAAAUUCAUCUGGAAAACAUGCUUUGACAUGUCUCAAGGAGGCUCAACAGUCCAGAAGAGAAGACAGUGAUGAUGAAGCGAUGAGGGGAUCUGAGAUGCAGCAUGACAGUGAAGACGACAGUGAGGAUGACUCUGAAUCCAGCUCUGAAUCCAGCUCUGACAGGAUAAGGAGAAAAAGGCGAAGAAAAGCAAACAUCGCUCUCGCCUGCGGGUUGGAGGACCAGGUGAUGUGGUGAAGCGGUACAAGGAAGUCCUUGCCAUUUUCCAGACGGGGAAGAAUAUGGCCAAAUCCUUCGAGAAGUAUGGAGUAGACAGACUUACUAUUGUGAGGACUGCAGCGAUUGCCGAGCUCGCAAUAGCUGCUCCAGAAGAAUAUGAUCAGGUGGAG